UGUCUACUCUCUCCGUCCAAAAAUACUUGUCGGAGAAAUGAGUGUACCUAGAUGUAUUUUAGUUCUAGAUAGACCCAUUUUUAUCUAUUUCUCCGGCAAGUAUUUCCGGACGGAGGGAGUAUAUA
rfam:Triticum aestivum genome assembly, contig: Triticum_aestivum_CS42_TGACv1_scaffold_501401_6BL